rnacentral:lncRNA from 1 species
CCCAGAUACAUUAUCAAUAUCAUAUCUUAUACUGUUUGUUUUACUCAAUAUAAGUUAUAUAACAUAUAUUAUUAGGCUCCUUCCUUCCAUUUUCUGUUUUUGUUUCCGUUUAUUUCUAUUAAUUAUCAGACAGUGAAACUGGUUUAGGUUUUUUUUGUAAGUCACCCACCAUUCACUUUAAAAUAAGUAUAAUUUCCCGAAUGUCGAA